rfam:Leifsonia sp. Root60 contig_1, whole genome shotgun sequence.
UCUAGUUCCUGUUCCCCGACUCCCAGCCGGCACGCUGACACACUUCCCCGGUGUCAGACUCCGGAUGGGGAUCGGGGGACAGGAGCCCUCCCGG